rnacentral:lncRNA from 1 species
CUGGGAAAUGCCCGAACAUUCCCCAUCACCUCCAGCGCCAAGAUCGGACUCAUCUCUUGAAACCCUACAGGGUGCUCCUUCCGACCGCCCUGUUACCGCCGUCCUUGACGCAAUUUCCUGAAAGGAGACAAAGAGCCAUUUACUGGAACCGGGGCUGCCCCUGGAUUCUGAAAACUGACGGGAGGAAGGAAGAGUGUCCGGCCACUGGUCUAGUCCUUCCCGUUCACAGAUCUCAGGAAGUCCUGGGCGUGCCCCAGAGGCCUCGUGUCCAGAUCCUCUUUGCACGCGUCUCCGCGCCUCGAACGCCGUCCUGCUCCUGCUCCUGCUCCGGGCAGAGGAACAAAGGGGAGCAGCUGAGGUUCUCUCUGGGCUGGUCCCCAGGAGCUGCCGGUGGAAUGGGUCUGCGGGGGCCCGAGGACUGACAGGUGAGGCCCCCGCAGGGCCUGCGUAGCUUGCCUUUCGCACGUGCUGGUAGGGGAGGGAUGGGAAAGAAUGUUCCGGAAGGCCUGCAGCUGGGCAUUUGGUGAAGGUGACGUGCUGGUGGGGUCCGCAAGGCUCUGGGCCUGGACCCUCCCACCUGCCUGCAGCCCAGCGUGGGGAGGAGCUGGACCAUUGUAACCCCCACCCCCAGUUUUGGCCUGAACACGGGGGCACAAAUCUCUCGAUUUGGGUGGCAAAGCUUCCCUCAGACGCUGCUCUAAAAUGUGCACACGCCUGCUUCUUUUCGGGACAGGAGAGCUUGGACUCUGACAAACUACACAUUUCAAUUUAUUUAUGUUCUAGAACGGCUAAUUAUAAGGACAUGUGGCCACCAGGAGCGACGUGAUUAUUUAUGCUGCUCUCGCCCCGUGGUCUCCACCAGAAGGGGGGUCUGAGGCAGCUGGGGCCCCAGGGCCUUUGUUGGCAGGGCUCUGGGCUGCUUCUAAGCCUUCGGACCGUCCAGACCGAGGUCCAGCAGUCACCUCA